rnacentral:rRNA from 1 species
AAAAGACCUCACAAUGUUCUGAUUUCUCAUGCGAUCCUGUCUGAUACUGGAAGCUAAGCAGGAUCAGACCUGGUUAGUACUUGGAUGGGAGACUACCUGGGAAUACUGAUGCUGUCGGCUUUUU